rnacentral:rRNA from 1 species
UUGGGAAUAUUGGACAAUGGGGGAAACCCUGAUCCAGCAAUGCCGCGUGGGUGAUGAAGGCCUUCGGGUUGUGAAGCCCUUUUGGCGGGGACGAUGAUGACGGUACCCGCAGAAUAAGCCCCGGCUAACUUCGUGCCAGCAGCCGCGGUAAUACGAAGGGGGCUAGCGUUGUUCGGAAUUACUGGGCGUAAAGGGCGCGUAGGCGGCCGUGCAAGUCAGAUGUGAAAGCCCUGGGCUCAACCCAGGAGGUGCAUUUGAUACUGCAUGGCUAGAGUGUCGGAGAGGAUGGUGGAAUUCCCAGUGUAGAGGUGAAAUUCGUAGAUAUUGGGAAGAACACCGGUGGCGAAGGCGACCAUCUGGACGACAACUGACGCUGAGGCGCGAAAGCGUGGGGAGCAAACAGGAUUAGAUACCCUGGUAGUCCACGCCGUAAACUAUGCGUGUUGGACGUUGGCGAGCCUAGCUCGUCGGUGUCGCAGCUAACGCGUUAAACACGCCGCCUGGGGAGUACGGCCGCAAGGUUA